GUGUUUGUGAACUAGCUACCUGAUAGGGGUGUUGGGAUCUAUAUUCUAUAAUAGAACAAUUCCAUCUUUUAGUAUAAUAUCUCACUAUUUAGUGUUUUGCUGGUCUGGAACUGUGUGUACCAGGCUGGUUGUCUUGGUCAGGGUUUCUAUUCCUGCACAAACAUCAUGACUAAGAAGCAAGUUGGGGAGGAAAGGGUUUAUUCGGCUUACACUUCCAUACUACUGUUCAUCACCAAGGAUGUCAGGACUGGAACUCAAGCAGGGCAGAAAGCAGGAGCUGAUGCAGAGGCCAUGGAGGGAUGUUACUUACUGGCUUGCUUCCCAUGACUUGCUCAGCCUGCUUUCUUAUAGAACCCAAGACCACCAGCCCAGAGAUAACACCACCCACAAUGGGUGCUCCCUCCUUGAUCACUAAUUGAGAAAAUGCCUUACAGCUGGAUUUCAUGGAGGCAUUUCCUCAACCGAAGCUCCUUUCUCUGUGAUAACUCCAGCCUGUGUCAAGUUGACACAAAACCAGCCAGUACACUGGUCUUGAACCCACAGAAAUCUACCUAACUGCUUUCUGUGUGCUUGGAUUAAAGGUGUGUUCCACCACACUUGGACAUCUUGUUUUAUGAAUUGGGAAUUGUGUUUUGAUAAAUUCUGGCUAUGAAAGUUAAUCAAUUGAGAUGUUAUAUAUAGUUACAUAUCAAAGAUAGUUUAAUAUUGGUUUGACAAGCCCCUUAACGUUUAUGAUGUAUAAAUGUGAUCCCACCAUUGUCUAAACUUUUUAUUAUAUGAUUGUAGUACUGCUGAAGCUGUAUUACAAGAAAUGGAUAAUAUUAAUAUCCGACGAAACCGUCGAUCAGGCGAAGUAGAGAGGCUUCGAAUGUGGACAGAUACAGAAUUUGUGAGUAUAUUAGCUGUGGAAACUUUUGCAAGUACUUCUCCUUAGUUUUUAUUCAUGUGUGCCUUGUGUGUAGAUGCCCACGGAAGCCAGUAGAGGGUGUUGGAUCCCCUAGAGCUAGAGUCACUGUUGGUCGUGAACCUCUUGAUGUGUGUGCUGGGAAGCCUGGAAGAAAAACAUUUUUCUUUAUACUUGCAAAGAAUUAGGAGUCUAGAAACAGGAUGAAUAGCAGUAGGCCUCUCCUCUCCUCUCCUUUCCUGUCCUCUUUCAUCCCCUCUCCUCCUCCUCUUUCUUGUUAAUGUAGCUAAAAUGGCCUUGAACUUCUGACCUCCUACUUGCAGGCAUGUGGUAUCAUGCCUGGUUUGUGGGGUGCUGCAGAUGGCACCCAGGGCAUUGGGCAGUGAGGCGAGCACUGCCAACUGAGCUACACUCCCAGCCCAACAGCAUUUAUUUAUUUAUUUAUUUAUUUAUUUAUUUAUAUUUUAUGUGCAUUGGUGUUUUGCCUGUGUGUAUGUCUGUGUGAUGGUGUUGGGUGUCCUGGAACUGGAGAUAUAGAUAAUUGUGAGCUGUCAGGUGGAUGCUGGAAAUUGAACCUAGGCCCUCUGUAAGAACAGCCAGUGUUCUUAUCUGCUAAGCCACCUCUCAAGCCACCCAAUGUCAUAUAUUUUAAAAUUAACAAUUGUUUAUUUCUCUUCAUUCCAUGCUUAGUUUGGGAGUUUACUGUUUGUUGCUGUUCCUGCUGCUCCCUCUUCAAACCCCUCACCCAAUUUCUUUUUCUUCUCUCUGAUUUUCUUCUCUCUUAGCUUUUUUCCCUCCUCCAUUCUUCU
rnacentral:lncRNA from 1 species